rnacentral:pre_miRNA from 1 species
AGUACCAUUGCUGGGUCACAUGGUAGUUCUAUUUUUAACUUUUUGAGGAACCUCCAUACUGUUUUCCAGAGUGGCUGCACCAUCUUGCAUUCCCACCAGCAGU